GAUGAACGCUGACAGAAUGCUUAACACAUGCAAGUCAACCGGAAUUUGGGUUUUUAACUUAGGUUUGGGUGGCGGACGGGUGAGUAACGCGUAAAGAACUUGCCUCACAGCUAGGGACAACAUUUGGAAACGAAUGCUAAUACCUAAUAUUAUGAUAAUAGGGCAUCCUAUAAUUAUGAAAGCUAUAAGCGCUGUGAGAGAGCUUUGCGUCCCAUGAGCUAGUUGGAGAGGUAACGGCUCACCAAGGCGAUGAUGGGUAGCCGGCCUGAGAGGGUGAUCGGCCACAAGGGGACUGAGACGCGGCCCUUACUCCUACGGGAGGCAGCAGUGAAGCAUAUUGGACAAUGGACCGAGAGUCUGAUCCAGCCAUUCUGUGUGCACGAUGAAGUUUUUCGGAAUGCAAAGUGCUUUCAGUUGGGAAGACACAAUUGACGGUACCAACAGAAGAAGUGCCGGCUACUUCCGU
rnacentral:rRNA from 1 species